rnacentral:rRNA from 1 species
GUCUUCGGCCAUACCAUCCUGAACCCACCUGAUCUGAUCUCGAAAGCUAAGCAGAGUUGGGCCUGGUUAGUACUUGGAUGGGAGAUAUGUAUGUACAAUUCUGUGCCACAUAAUGAUAUUUUGGUCAAUGACAGACU